GGGGGUGAAACGGCUUCGACGGGGCAGUGAAAGGAUCGAGAGGCGACUCGGAAUGGAUCCGCCGUAAUGGACCACAGCGUUUAGACGCCAACGACGAGCAUUACGCUCCAGUUCUCGCUGCGGCUUAAACCGUAGCAGAACGGGGUCUGGAUCCGGACCCGGCAACAGAAGCCGCAAGGCAGGAUCAACCCGGAAAGGCGAAGGCCGGUUUAAAUCCAAGGUCGCCCAGUUCUCCGAGGAUACGGAGGUCCCAAGACCAGUCGGUCUGUAACGGUCAAGGGUCAUCAUGACCGGCAGAUGGUCGUAAUUCCUCUUGUCUGACUAAGUGUUUCGGACGCGGGUUCAACUCCCGCCACCUCCACCA
rnacentral:tmRNA from 1 species